GUGGGGUUUUGGUUUGUACAGUAAGUUAAAUAAAUAAAUUCAUGUUUGCUAUGAUUUGUGUAUCAAACAUAAAUUACUGAAAUAAUUUUUUUCUUUCAUUAGAUGGCAGAAAUGGAAGUGAGGGAGAAAUGGACCUCUCUCAAAACAGGCCUUACUGACAGAUGAUCUGUGGCAUCUGUGCAGAUAUCAUGCUUCGUCACUGUUCAGCACAUGACAUACAAGAAGUUUGUCUCAAAAGUGUGUCAUCAUUAAAAACAACAAAAGGCAGUGCAUGUAAAAUGGUAUCCAACUGUAAUUUUCCAAAUAUAGGACAAUUGAGGAGGUGGAAAAAAUAGGAAUUGUUUCUCUUAUCACUGAUUCCGAAAUACAGGAGAUCUUCCAAGUCAUUCGGCAAGGUUCAGUAAAAUCAGCGUGGAACAAAUGGUGGCAAUCAAAGACUGGAAAGGUGUCAGCUCCCAAAAGUUUCCAUCCUGCAUUGGCGGCACAUAUGGACGACCUAAUAGAAAAAAAAAAAGAAUGUUCUGUUGGAGUCCAAAAAGGAACAGAAGCCUGAAAACAUGCAGAUGAUUUUUGAUGAACUGAUUCCAGAGAUUAGCAUUCUCAUACUCAGAAGAACUGAAGGCUUCAGUAAAUUUUGGGCUGAGAUGUCAUAUCUUGUGGAGUGUGUCAUUAAAAUUUCUAUAUAAGGUCUCCAACACUAACUCUCGACAGACGCAGCAGGACAAAAGUUUGCCUGCCUCCACCAUUACAUCCUGACAGCCAUGGAAAGAGAAGUAUCAGGAAAGUCGGGGAUAGCACCAACAAUCCCGGCUUAACCUGCACACACACACAAACACACACACACUAAGUUUAUAAGUGCCAAGUUUUAACAUGUUGUUUAUGUUUUUCACGUUUCUUAUGUUUUAAAGAAGUCCAUCAUCGCGUCGCUCCAUCAGCCGUGCCAAGAUAAGUAUCAUUGAAAUCAGGGAGCGCUGAGUCUUC
ensembl:lncRNA